rnacentral:sRNA from 1 species
GCCGGGACCGCUGACCUUGCGCUUUGUGCGGCUCCAGGCCUCCGAGUGGACUCCAGAAAGCCUGAAAAGCUAUCAUGGCAGCAAGGCCCAAGCUUCACUAUCCCAACGGAAGAGGCCGGAUGGAGUCCGUGAGAUGGGUUUUAGCUGCCGCCGGAGUCGAGUUUGAUGAAGAAUUUCUGGAAACAAAAGAACAGUUGUACAAGUUGCAGGAUGGAUUGACAUGUACGUGGAGGGGACGCUGGAUCUGCUGGAACUGCUUAUCAUGCAUCCUUUCUUAAAACCAGAUGAUCAACAAAAGGAAGUGGUUAACAUGGCCCAGAAGGCUAUAAUUAGAUACUUUCCUGUGUUUGAAAAGAUUUUAAGGGGUCAUGGACAAAGCUUUCUUGUUGGUAAUCAGCUGAGCCUUGCAGAUGUGAUUUUACUCCAAACCAUUUUAGCUCUAGAAGAGAAAAUUCCUAAUAUCCUGUCUGCAUUUCCUUUCCUCCAGGAGUACACAGUGAAACUAAGUAAUAUCCCUACAAUUAAGAGAUUCCUUGAACCUGGCAGCAAGAAGAAGCCUCCCCCUGAUGAAAUUUACGUGAGAACUGUCUACAACAUCUUUAGGCCGUAAAACAACGCAUCCAUGUGUGAGUGAGAGCGUGUUCCUAGAGAUGGUUCUGUCUACGGUCAUGUCUUAAUGGAUCCCAGCUCUGUCAUGGUGCUAUGUAUUAAGUUGGGUCCUAAGUUGGGUCUUUUGUGUCAAAGAGAUCAUCUCUUCUAGAAAUAUCAACCUUUUUUGUCCAGUAAAUAAUUGUUAGGGGAUCUUUUUUGGAAAACUUUUUUGGAGAGGCUGGUAUCGGGCUACUCAUGUACUGUAGCCAGUUCAUCCUCCUAAUAAGAAUGGGCAGCAUCUCUUGUUCUCUCCUGAGCGUCUUUCUGCUCUCCUUAUCUUGUUCUCUUAUCUUUAUCCCCUCCAGUCUCUGCCUAAUUUUUAGUGUUUAACAACAACCGAAUGUCCAGUAAACGACUCUCCUCUGAGCUGUAAUAAAUAAAAUGGUAUUAAUGAAUGCAAUCAGUAUUAGUCAAAAUAAAGAAUUUAUGAGUCAUU